rnacentral:pre_miRNA from 1 species
GUAGUUGGAUUUGCAUCAAUCUACAUGUGUUGGAGUAAAUUAGUGUAAAACUUGAACUAAAUUCCACCCCAACACGUGUGGAUUGAGGUGAAUCCAACA